rnacentral:rRNA from 1 species
UAGUUAAGUGACUAAGCGUACAAGGUGGAUGCCUUGGCAAUCAGAGGCGACGAAGGACGUGCUAAUCUGCGAAAAGCUUGGAUGAGUCGAUAAGAGGCGUUUAAUCCAAGAUAUCCGAAUGGGGAAACCCAGUAGAUGAAGAAUCUACUAUCACUUACUGAAUCCAUAGGUAAGUGAGGCAAACCGGGAGAACUGAAACAUCUAAGUACCCCGAGGAAAAGAAAUCAACCGAGAUUUCGUUAGUAGCGGCGAGCGAACGCGAAGGAGCCUGUUAGUGAUAAUGACAGAGACAGAGGAACAAGCUGGGAAGCUUGGCGAUACAGGGUGAUAGCCCCGUACUCGAAGUCCAGGUCAUGGUACUAAGCUAACGACAAGUAGGGCGGGACACGUGAUAUCC